rnacentral:misc_RNA from 1 species
GGAAGGUCUUGAGUGAUGUGUCAAAAGCAUGUCCUGAUGAAUUGAUUGAUAAUAACAGUAGUUGUGGUCACAAUAUUCAGCCUCUAGACAGACAUCAUUCAAAUGAAGUGGGUAACCAUGAUGUUGAAGAUAACUCUUGUACCACUGAUGCAGCUGGGGCUUCUUCAGAUACACCACAGGUAAAAACUGAUGAUUGUAAACACUGGGCAAGUCAUUUUGCUGGUGUUGGCAUUGACAGUGGGCAUGAUUUUGUGAUGGAGCCAUCUAAUGGUAAAGAAUGGGAUAUGGGAGGGUACUUGAGCUGUCCUAAGAAUGAAGUUGAUUUGUUACCAACUUGCUCUAUGAUUGAGGAAGUGUUUGGAGACGAAGCCUGGAGUUCCAAGCACAGAGAUGGUCACAGUUUAAGCAAGCAUUGACCUGUUGCAUAUGAUACCCGUUUAUUUUUUGCCGUUGGAUCAUCCUUGGAACACUUCUUGCAAAAGUGAGAUCCAUUUUUACUUGUAUAUUAUUUAGUGGUGAAAGGACAGAGCAUGUUAGGGAUAAAAGUUGAGAUUUUCGACCUUGCUCUUGGUUGUUAGUAGGAAGCUGUUUUGAGGUAGGCGGUUAGGAUUAAUUUAUAUGUAAAUUAUAUGGCCGAGUUGAGCCAUCUUUCGACAAAUGAAAA